GAUGAACGCUGGCGGCGUGCCUAACACAUUCAAGUCGAACGGAGUACUCCUUCGGGGGUACUUAGUGGCGAACGGGUGAGUAACGCGUGAGGAACCUACCUUCCAGUGGGGGACAACAGUUGGAAACGACUGCUAAUACCGCAUAACACAACGAGACCGCAUGAUCUUGUUGUCAAAGCUUUAUGUGCUGGAAGAUGGCCUCGCGUCUGAUUAGCUAGUUGGUGGGGUAACGGCCUACCAAGGCGACGAUCAGUAGCCGGACUGAGAGGUUGAACGGCCACAUUGGGACUGAGAUACGGCCCAGACUCCUACGGGAGGCAGCAGUGGGGAAUAUUGGGCAAUGGGGGAAACCCUGACCCAGCAACGCCGCGGUGAAGGAAGAAGGGCCUUCGGGUUGUAAACUUCUUUUAGUAGGGACGAAGAACGUGACGGUA
rnacentral:rRNA from 1 species